rnacentral:rRNA from 1 species
UACGUAGGGUCCGAGCGUUGUCCGGAAUUACUGGGCGUAAAGAGCUCGUAGGUGGUUUGUCGCGUUGUUCGUGAAAACUCACAGCUCAACUGUGGGCGUGCGGGCGAUACGGGCAGACUUGAGUACUGCAGGGGAGACUGGAAUUCCUGGUGUAGCGGUGAAAUGCGCAGAUAUCAGGAGGAACACCGGUGGCGAAGGCGGGUCUCUGGGCCGAUACUGACGCUGGAGGGAGCGAAAGCGUGGGGAGCGAACAGG